GCGUUGAUGGUGUAGUGGUUGCACAGCCAGAUCGGUGAUUGCCUGGCUUGCCCUGGUUCGAUCCCAGGUCGACGCC